rnacentral:rRNA from 1 species
CGAACGUUGGCGGCGUGGUUGAGGCAUGCAAGUCGAACGAGAAAGUAUUCUUCGGAAUGCGAGUAAAGUGGCGAACGGGUGAGCAAUAACUGGAUAACCUACCCUAUAGAUGGGGAUAACGGCGGGAAACUGCCGCUAAUACCCAAUAAGACUACAGAUAUGCGUAUCUGGAGUAAAAGGAAAUCGCUAUAGGAGGGGUUCAGCGCUUAUCAGCUAGUUGGUGAGGUAAUGGCUCACCAAGGCUAUGACGGAUACCUGGUCUGAGAGGAUGUACAGGCACAUUGGAACUGAGACACUGUCCAAACACCUACGGGUGGCUGCAGUUCGGAAUAUUCCACAAUGCACGAAAGUGCGAUGGAGCGACGCCGCGUGCGCGAUGAAGGCCUUCGGGUUGUAAAGCGCUUUCGGGAGGUAGCAAAAGGAAACUUGAGUUAAACUCCUAAAGAAGGGGCGGCUAACUACGU